CAAUAGCGUAUAUUAAAGUUGUUGCAGUUAAAAAGCUCGUAGUUGGAUUUCUGGCUGGAGCGAUCGGUCCGCCCCGCAAGGGGUGUGUACUAGCGUCGUCUCCGACCAUCCUUGUGGGAACUGUGCGGCCGUUAACUCGGUUGUAUAUGGGAACACAUCGUUUACUGUGAAAAAAUUAGAGUGUUUAAAGCAGGCUUAAGCCGUUGAAUACAUUAGCAUGGAAUAAUAAGAUAGGACUUUGGUGCUAUUUUGUUGGUUUGUACACCGAGGUAAUGAUUAAUAGGGACAGUUGGGGGUAUUCGUAUUUAAUUGUCAGAGGUGAAAUUCUUGGAUUUGUUGAAGACGGACUUACUGCGAAAAGCAUCUGCCAAAGAUGUUCUCAUUGAUCAAGAACGAAAGUUAAGGUGAUCGAAGACGAUUAGAUACCAU
rnacentral:rRNA from 1 species